UAACUUUAUGACUUCUAUAUGAUUAACAGCAAUUGCACCUAAUUAUAAAAUUAACUACUACCACUAAUAUGUCAACAUUAUGUAUUCUUAAUCCUUUUAGAGACAGUGUAUAUAGUAUUUUAAUAUUCUUAGAUUAAUGUUCUAAGAUUAAUAUUCUUAGAUUAAUAUUCUUCCUUUUAGAGACAUUUAGUGUAUAGUAUUUUAAUAUUUUCUUAACUUGUAAAUAUAAGCGUAAUUCAGCCUAUUGGCUGCAAUGUUUUUAUGUAAAUAAAUAUAACAUCUAUCUACAGGGUGUAUCAGAAAAAAAGUAGACAAUCUUGAAGCGGCUCUCAAUUUCACAAAUCUGUUCGUGUCAUGAAAUUUUUGAUAAAUAUAGAUUGUUUGAGUACUUAUAAUGUAGAAUAAAC